AAUUGGAGCUCUCAUGACUACUACAAUUAGUCAAAAUAACUUUUCUUCUUAAUUUCUUUGAACUCUUUUUUAAUAGAGAGUAGCCUUUCUAUAUUUUUCAAGUUGACUCUUUUCUUCUUUUCCUCUUCUUGAUUCAAAAUUUUCUUCUUUUUUAUGAAUCUCAUGAACCUUUUUGUAAUCACUGCCAUUUCUUCGUCAUCUUCCAAAUUUUUGGUAGAAUCACUUAAAGUUUCUUCAAUGACUUAUGACUUGAGUGCAAGGGUUCUCUUCUUCAUCUUUUCUUCCUCU
rnacentral:lncRNA from 1 species